AUUGAACGCUGGCGGCAUGCCUUACACAUGCAAGUCGAACGGUAACGGGCCUUCGGGUGCCGACGAGUGGCGAACGGGUGAGUAAUGCAUCGGAACGUACCUUUCAGUGGGGGAUAACGUAGCGAAAGUUACGCUAAUACCGCAUAUUCUGUGAGCAGGAAAGCAGGGGAUCGCAAGACCUUGCGCUGAUUGAGCGGCCGAUGUCAGAUUAGCUAGUUGGUGAGGUAAAGGCUCACCAAGGCGACGAUCUGUAGCGGGUCUGAGAGGAUAAUCCGCCCCACUGGGACUGGGACACGGCCCAGACUCCUACGGGAGGCAGCAGUGGGGAAUUUUGGACAAUGGGGGCAACCCUGAUCCAGCCAUGCCGCGUGAGUGAAGAAGGCCUUCGGGUUGUAAAGCUCUUUCGGCCGGGAAGAAAUCGCACAGGCUAAUACCUUGUGUGGAUGACGGUACCGGAAUAAGAAGCACCGGCUAACUACGUGCCAGCCGCCGCCGUAACAC
rnacentral:rRNA from 1 species